GAAAUUUGGAACCAAAUCCGGAAAGGGGGAAACCUGAAGCUUCGAUCUUCUGUCAAAGUCGAUUUGUUCAGCGAAGGUGAUAUCUUGCGCGCGAAACUUGAUUCCAAGGGAAAGGAUAUAGUUGAGACUUAAGCGCUUUGAGGUUGAGCGGCGGCGAGAGUAUGGUGGUGUUGAGCAAGUUAAUUGGAGAAUGCAUUGUUUAUCUUUGAAUUAUGAGUGUCGUUGUGUCUUCACACAUGACGGCACUCUUUCUCUUGGUCGUUUCCACUGUGGCAUUUCUUUUACUUAUCAUUAUUGGGCCUGCAACUUAAAUUGUUUGGAUAUUGAAUACUUGGGAUUUUACUAGUUUAUGUCAAAUUCUUGGUCGUUUUCUUUGAAUAUUAAUUGUUGGUCCAACUCGUUAUUGUAACCCUAGUUCCCUUCGUCUGCUUAUUGAAUUCCUUUAAUCACGAUCGCCCGUAUUUAUUAAAAAUAAAUGGUGGUCGUGACAGUUUGGUAUCAGAGCCUCAGUUUCUUUCCGCUCUGGACCCAAGAGUCUUUUGGAGUCAAAAUCUAUACUUGCAUUAAUUGGCUAAAGUGUUAAACAUCGAAGGCUCAACACCACAACUCGCCACACCCAACCACGAAAGAAGAGGUAAGAAUAUUUUGGCGACUUUUAAAUGAAUUACUGAAAUUUUUGAAAUUCGAUGGAAAAAUGGUUCCUUGUGAAAAUGGCAAUUUUGGGUCUAUUGGAAAUUUAAAGUAAAUGCUAUGGCUUUUGGAAAAAUGUUGUGGUCAUACGAGAGUGAGACACUAUGGGAGUAUGUGA